GUGAAUCAUCGAAUUUUUGAACGCAAAUUGCGCUUCCUGGCAUCCCGUGAAGUAUGCCUGUUUGAGGGUCAGUAUUAACAGUAAAUCGGUUUGGUUGCAAAUUUUUACGUUUCCGGAGUUUGGGCUAUCUUAACUUUUUUGGGUAAGGGGCUUAAAAUUUACCUUUUUUUCUCAUUUUUAGACGUACAUAAAUUUUUUUUUUAUUCGUCUAUUCUUAAUUCCAAAAUCUUAUUAGGUGCUAUCACAUCUUGUUUUUUCGUGUCCU
rnacentral:misc_RNA from 1 species